rnacentral:rRNA from 1 species
AUGGCUUUUGUGCAACGUCGAAAGGGUCCUGAUGUAGUGGGAUCGUUCGGAUUGUUACAACCUCUAGUAGAUGGUUUGAAAUUGAUUCUAAAAGAACCUAUUUCACCAAGCAGUGCUAAUUUCUCCCUUUUUAGAAUGGCUCCAGUGGCUACAUUUAUGUUAAGUCUGGUCACUUGGGCCGUUGUACCUUUUGAUUAUGGUAUGGUAUUGUCAGAUCCGAACAUAGGGCUACUUUAUUUGUUUGCCAUAUCUUUGCUAGGUGUUUAUGGAAUAAUUAUAGCAGGUUGGUCUAGUAAGACGGGGGGCGACCGUUCGGUCGCCUAUGAUAUACGGACCAAUUGGUCAAAAUGGGUUUGUGCCGCAGGUGUUGAACGAUCUACUCUACACAGGUGUGGGCUUACAAGGCUAGGGCUAAUAAACCCUUUCUUUCAUUCAUCAAGGGGUCGGUCACUUUUCUGGGCCGUGAUUGAGAAGUGGAAGUCAUAA